rnacentral:rRNA from 1 species
UACGGAAGGCAGCAGUGGGGAAUAUUGGACAAUGGGCGAAAGCCUGAUCCAGCCAUGCCGCAUGAGUGAAGAAGGCCUUCGGGUUGUAAAGCUCUUUUAGUGAGAAAGAUAAUGACGGUACUCACAGAAGAAGUCCUGGCUAACUCCGUGCCAGCAGCCGCGGUAAUACGGAGAGGGCUAGCGUUAAUCGGAAUUACUGGGCGUAAAGGGCACGCAGGCGGUUAAUUAAGUUGGAUGUGAAAUCCCCGGGCUUAACCUGGGAAUGGCAUUCAAGACUGGUUAGCUAGAGUCUUGUAGAGGGGGUAGAAUUCCAUGUGUAGCGGUGAAAUGCGUAGAGAUGUGGAGGAAUACCGGUGGCGAAGGCGGCCCCUGGACAAAGACUGACGCUCAUGUGCGAAAGCGUGGGGAGCAAACAGGGAUUAGAUACC